rnacentral:tRNA from 1 species
UGUUGGGUUAUUGAAAUUCUUGAAUUAUAGGCUCAUAACCUGAAGGUCACAGGUUCAAAUCCUGUCCCCGCAU